CGUGCGGGGCGGGGCCGUGCGGACGGUGGCUCGGGCGGUCAAUCCUGAGGGCGGGGCCAGAGCUGCGCGGCAGGCGGGGCGAAGCGUGCGUGCGGGGGCGGGGCGCAGCGCGCGGCCCCUCCUCCUGCACCCGGGGCCUUGGAGGCGGGUCUCAGGCCCCGGGUGUGCGGGUUGUUGAGAACCCCUCCCGCCUCGGGUUCAAGGCAAAUUAGCGCUCCAGUUUUGCCCUUCGCGCGGCCCGGCGGUGACAGAAAGAUGGCACACAGAGACCACCACAUGAAGAGGCAAAAACCCUGAGACUACAUGGAGGAAAAGUAAGGACCCAGUUAUCACCAAGAACUGAUGUCCCAGACACAUGAACCCUGAUGAACCCAGAUGAACCCUGAUGAGUCCCUGCUGAGGGACCAGUCAUGGAGGGGAGAAGCCAUCUGAGCUGUUCCUCAUUACCUAAAACAGAGCAAAACUGAACCACUACCACCUGGAAAUUUUAAUGUCUGUAGCAAAGAAUUCCUGGAACUGCUCUAAUUACAUGCCUAAGGAGGAAAUCCAGACAAGAAAACUUUCCAGGAUCUUCUCCUUCAGAAAGGUAAAAAAGCAGUGCUGGGAAUUUAUGUAUUUAAUAAGAAUUCCAGGUGAGUCUUAUAAUCAGACUAGUAUGGCUGAUAUGGCCUUACAGCUUCUUCAGGCUUCAGAUUUCACAUGGAUAGGAAAUGAGCUGCUCAUGUUGUACAGAAUUCAGAAGAGGAAUCCAUGCCAGAAACCCUUUAGAAAUGGCCAUGGAGGACAAUGAACAAGAGAGAUGAGCACAGAGAAUAGCCCGGAGACAGUGAGAUGGACUGAACAAGGAUGUUGUCUGCUGCCAAAGCCAAGAGCACUCGCUGCUCCUGCCUUGGAGAGGGGUAGGCUGCACUGUGAACUGGUGGCUACUUCUGUUCUCUCUCUCACCUGUUCCAAAUGUGAGUUUUUAUUUAGUGAGGUUCUUUCAUCCCUCUUCCAGUAAUUUGUUUGUGAGUGUUAUUUGUUUGUUGCUGGACUAUGGGGAGUCACAUGUGGACCCUCCCCCCCAAACACACAGAUCUUAUUGCAGCAGACAAGGCAUGACUCAAGCUGUUUCUGUUUGGGGAGGAGACGUUUCAAUUUCUGUGCCCCCAGAAGCCUAUCCUGAGACAAAGACUUGACUGCAAAUAGUUUAUUUGGGAGAUUAAAAAAAAAAUACUAGUAGGGUGGCACCUGGGUGGCUCAGUCAGUUCAGUGUCUGCC